rnacentral:rRNA from 1 species
GUGGGGAAUCUUAGACAAUGGGGGAAACCCUGAUCUAGCCAUGCCGCGUGAGCGAUGAAGGCCUUAGGGUUGUAAAGCUCUUUCAGCUGGGAAGAUAAUGACGGUACCAGCAGAAGAAGCCCCGGCUAACUCCGUGCCAGCAGCCGCGGUAAUACGGAGGGGGCUAGCGUUGUUCGGAAUUACUGGGCGUAAAGCGCGCGUAGGCGGACCAGAAAGUUGGAGGUGAAAUCCCAGGGCUGAACCUUGGAACUGCCUUCAAAACUCCUGGUCUGGAGUUCGAGAGAGGUGAGUGGAAUUCCGAGUGUAGAGGUGAAAUUCGUAGAUAUUCGGAGGAACACCAGUGGCGAAGGCGGCUCACUGGCUCGAUACUGACGCUGAGGUGCGAAAGCGUGGGGAGCAAACAGGAUUAGAUACCCGGGUAGUCC